GUUAUUUGAUUGGUGGUUUGUAUGUCACAUGAUAUGGAUUAUUCGUACCAGUUGCCAUUGUGUUCCAUUUACCGUGCAAUUUUGGUUCUAUAUGUUUUCUGCUAUUGCAUGCCGCCGCCACAGCCGCUGAGCUUAACA